ACUCCUACGGGAGGCAGCAGUGGGGAAUAUUGCACAAUGGGCGCAAGCCUGAUGCAGCCAUGCCGCGUGUAUGAAGAAGGCCUUCGGGUUGUAAAGUACUUUCAGCAGUGAGGAAGGUGGGUAUGUUAAUAGCAUAUUCAUUUGACGUUAGCUGCAGAAGAAGCACCGGCUAACUCCGUGCCAGCAGCCGCGGUAAUACGGAGGGUGCGAGCGUUAAUCGGAAUUACUGGGCGUAAAGCGCAUGCAGGUGGUUUGUUAAGUCAGAUGUGAAAGCCCGGGGCUCAACCUCGGAAUUGCAUUUGAAACUGGCAAACUAGAGUACUGUAGAGGGGGGUAGAAUUUCAGGUGUAGCGGUGAAAUGCGUAGAGAUCUGAAGGAAUACCGGUGGCGAAGGCGGCCCCCUGGACAGAUACUGACACUCAGAUGCGAAAGCGUGGGGAGCAAACAGGAUUAGAUACCCUGGUAGC
rnacentral:rRNA from 1 species